rnacentral:rRNA from 1 species
AUUGAACGCUGGCGGCAUGCUUUACACAUGCAAGUCGAACGGCAGCGCGGGCUUCGGCCUGGCGGCGAGUGGCGAACGGGUGAGUAAUACAUCGGAACGUGCCCAGCUGUGGGGGAUAGCUCGGCGAAAGCCGGAUUAAUACCGCAUACGACCUGAGGGUGAAAGCGGGGGAUCUUCGGACCUCGCGCUCUUGCAGCGGCCGAUGGCGGAUUAGCUAGUUGGUGGGGUAAAGGGCUACCAAGGCGACGAUCCGUAGCUGGUCUGAGAGGACGACCAGCCACACUGGAACUGAGACACGGCCCAGACUCCUACGGGAGGCAGCAGUGGGGAAUUUUGGACAAUGGGCGAAAGCCUGAUCCAGCAAUGCCGCGUGUGUGAUGAAGGCCUUCGGGUUGUAAAGCACUUUUGGCGGGAACGAAAAGGACUGUGCCAAUACCACGGUUCGAUGACGGUACCCGAAGAAUAAGCACCGGCUAACUACGUG